UACGUAGGUGGCAAGCGUUGUCCGGAAUUAUUGGGCGUAAAGCGCGCGCAGGUGGUUCCUUAAGUCUGAUGUGAAAUCCCCCGGCUUACCCGGGGACCUGCAUCCCAUACUGCCAAGCUUGAGUACGGGAGAGGAUGAGGGAAUUCCUGGUGUAGCGGUGAAAUGCGUAGAUAUCAGGAGGAACACCGGUGGCGAAAGCGCUCAUCUGGCCCGAUACUGACGCUGAUGCGCGAAAGCUAGGGGAGCAAACGGG
rnacentral:rRNA from 1 species